GGGUUCCCUGGGAGCGUCCAGUCAGGCCAUGGGCCAGAACUGCCCUUCCCUUGUUGCUGCCUCCCAGAUCCACGUGGACUUGACUCAUUUUAGAAGCUGCUCACCCCAUUGAUGUUAUAACCAGGGACUGCAUACAUCACAAUUGGCAGGACCUGCUCAUGUUUGGCAAAAUGGAAGCGUUCUGGAAGUUCCUUCUUCUUAUAGACAUUGAGGGGAGGGUGUGCGUGCUUCAGCGCUUGGUCAACAGCUUCCUCCUGCCCGGGCUUGGGCAGGAGCACCCCAAAGCUGCCGUAGUCCACGAUAUCACACUUGACCAAGUCCCUGAAGCUGAUGUAGUUGCUCAGGAGGAUCUCGGUGACAUUGGGCUUCUUUUUCACGAUGGUCAUGCCGUGGUCUGAUGUGAUGAUGACGUUGAGGUGCAGGGUCAAGCCGUGCCUCUGGAUGGCUUCCAACAGGUACCCGAUGGGUCUGUCGAUGGGCCGAAUCCUCACCCUCCUGUCCUCUGUCUUGGGCCUGAAGCGGUGCCCCAUGUCAUCAGGCUCCCUGUAGUACAGAGUCACGAAGUCAAGGUCCGCCUUGGUGAACCAGUUCAUGAUGAUCUCGAUGUUCUCCUGCUCUUCUGCCUCAUUGUCCUUCGGGUGAGGGUAUGACUCCACCAGGGACCGCCAGCCGGCCUCCCCUUCGUACUUGGCACCUCCCUGGGAUAGUGGAAUGAUGCCCUUUCCCUCCCCUGCAAGGCCAAGAAGAGAAGACUGUCAGGGCCAUUUCUCCCAUCUUUCUCUUAUUGUGCAAAGCCCAGUGUGCCAGCCUCCCUGCCCCGGGCCAGAGGCAUCAGAAACACGUGGGCUGUGGACGGAAUUGGGUGGGGCUGGGCUUCCUUCCUGGCAUCACCAGGAUCUCAUGGAAUCUAAAACACUCCUAGUUGUGAGACGUGUCUUUAUUUUACAUACUCCUGUGAAGAAAAAUGCUGCCAAUGACAGCAGGACGCGCCAGUGAUUGUAGGAUGCAUUUCGAUUCUGGACGGCAAAAUGAACAAAAAGUGCCUUGGGAUGGAGGAAGAAUGGUACUAAGUUGGCGAUGGAGGCAGAGGAGGACAAGACACAGAAAAAAGGAGGAGAUGGACCAAGGAGGCAGAGGGACCAAGGAAGCAGAGGGGCGUGAUGCAGCCACAAGCCCAGGAGUGCUGGCAGCCACCAGACAUGGAAGAAGCAAAGACAGAUUCUCCCCUAGAGCCUCGAGAGGGAAUAUGGACCCCUGACACCUUGAUUUUGGACUUCUGGCCUCCAGACUUUCUGUUGCUCUAAGCAUCCUAUGGCACUUUGUGACAACAGCUGCAGGGAACAAAUACACCUGUGCCCUCAGUCUCAGGUGGUUCCAGCUACUCCUCUCACUCCAGGCCUUGGAAUCCCGAGCAGUCAUGACCUUUUUGCUCCAUUGCCCUGGUGUUUCGGGCUGACCCUUCCUCUUGUGUGAUGCGUGGACCUGCAGCAUUGGCAUCCACUGGGGGCUCAUUGGAAAUGUAGAUUCUCAGGCCCCACCCCAGACCCACUGAAACACAGUCUGCAUUUUAACCAGAUCCCCAGGUGAUUCACGAACACAUUCAAAUUUGAGAAGCACCAGUGGAAGCUCUCAGGUGGCAACUAGAGCAUUUCUCCUCCCGCAAGUAUCCUAGUUUCUUCAUGUCAGUUCUGUUAAAUAUGGUGGGGAGAUUUUGUAAAAAGAAACCCAACCCUUAGCUUAGAACUGCACAUUGAUGUGUUAUGGAUGCAAUGGCGCGAUGUCUGAACUUUGCUGUAAAAGAUUCAAGGAGGGAGGGAAGGAGGAAAAGAAGGAAGGCAGGGAGGAAGGAGAAGGCUUUGGGUGGGGACAGUAGAAUAAGACUGGUAAAACGUGAACAGGUUCUUGCAGCUCCGUGUUGGGUAGAGGGGGCUUCACUGCGCAGUUUUCUCUGCUUUUUCUGCAUGUUGGAAAUUUCCAUAAUGAAAUGUUAGGAAACAUCCUGGUUUCCCAGCCUUCCUUAUGUUUAGUUUUUUUCCAUGGCUCUGUUUUUUUCUCUCCUCAUGGUAAUGGCUGGUGCUGGAGAGACAUCUUUUCUGUCUCGGCUUGUGCUUUUCUUUGCUCUGUUUGUUCAUGUUUGUGGCUUUCUUGGCUUCUGGGACUUUUUCAGCAGAGAGUUAUUGCUGGGGGAGUAGGAUGGGAGCUGAUUAAGGUUUAUGGCCUUGUCUAACUGGGUUUCCAACAACAUCUGCUAGCCUUGUAUUGUUACUGGCAGCAGGAAUUUAAUUUCCCUUCUCUUUCUCUACUCUCUCACCUCUUUUAGACUUUGUCCACUGGCCAGAGUAUCACGUUUGGAAGCUUUGGCUCUCUGAUUUACAUGUGAUUUGCAUAUUACAAUCUAGUCCAGGGAUUCCAAUUAGGGGGUGAGUUUACCUCCAAAGGAACAUGGGGAACUGUCUGGAGACAUUUUUGGUUGGCUCGACUAGGAGAGGGAUGCUGCUGGCAUCUAGUGAGUAGAAGCUGGGGAUACUGCUAAACACUUUAUAAUGCACAGGGCAGCCUCCCCGCCCCCACCCUGGUCCCCAAGACAAAGAGUGAUCUGGCCCCAAAAGUCAACGGUGGGACAUAGAGACAGCCCGAUCUAGUCUUAAAGAUCAUCCAAGUGCACUUGGCCACACUUUCUUUGCUUCUGUCCCAUGAAGGAGAGGUGGAUUCAUGGCUUAUGACAACAUCCAAAGGAAAGUUUACUUCUUAUAGGUUGAUUUUGGCAGCGAAUGCAAGGGAUGGCUCAUUUGUGUAGGUUGUGCCCUGCACACCUCCAGGGGGCACCACCCACAAAAUAUUCAUGAAAACAACCCUCUCAGAAUUGCCUACACAGCUCUAAGUGGUUGUUCUGGUUUUGGGGUUGCCCUAGGGGUUCUGGAACUGGGAGAGACUUUAUAUCUGGCUCCCAGGGGCCAUGAGCAUGCCAUCGAGGGUCCUUUACAGAAGGGAGGAAAAGUGGAACUGUGAGGACCCCACUUGCAUUAUUCUCGACCAUCAUCUCAUUAUGGAGUUUCUCCUUUUCACCCCUGGGCCAUGGCCUUUGGACUAGAUCUAAAAUUGUCAGAUUAUAAUAUCACAGUUUUGUUUGAAAUAUGGUGGUGAUAGCUUCUUAUUUUCCAUCAGUUCCUUGGGGGAGGAAAUACAUGCUGUUGCCAUAAGACUUUCUAUCCACCCACUCUUUGCUUGGCGGGAUUUCCUUAGUUUCACCAGCAUAAUUUAUUCUCGCUGGCCCUCAAUCACUUUGCAAUAAAAACUGAGAUUGCAAAAAUGUUCAUUGUCAUUACCAGUGAUGGAGCAGUAAGUACAGGCUUCUGGAGAGAGAGGGAGGAAAUCAGGUGAUUUAAAAUAGCAGAAUGAGCUGCUCACCCCCAGAGAAUGGCUUUUCAUUUUGGCAGGAUCUGAGGGGAAUUACAACAGAGUUCAGGGGCACGGAGGGACAGGGCUGGGAGGUAUGGUCACCCAUUGCAUUGGGAGCCUGUGCCCUGUGGGCAGCCCCAUGGAUGGAGCUUUGAUUUCUUGGGCCUCAGUACUGGGUCACUGGCUGCAAACCCAUCAUCACACUGUUGGGCCCAGGCCGGAUGGUAGACCACUGAGGUUUCUGCCAGGCCUCUUCCCUUACUCCUCCCUCUGAUGCUAGUCUUGACUCCCCCCUGGGGGCCCACCCCCUCCAUGGGUGACAUGGUUUGUGUGGGGCUUGCUAUUGCUCGCCUUGACCUGGAGGUGGGCGUAGGGGCCCAGCUUGGGUGGUCACCAUCAUUCCAUCCCCCUGGCCACGGAGAUUGGUUGUGAGAAGCAAACUGGCCCAGUGAAAGUCAAUCUCGGUCACUCUUAGGAAAGAGAAGUAGACAGAAGAAUUGGAAGAAGUAAAGAGAGAGCUCCAUCAUUCUGAUGACAUAGUUUGGGGAUCUGGAUGUAGCCAUGCCUAUAGCUUUGGGUUAAUUAUAUGUUACAGUUUCAGUCACGCUCCUCACAAAAGAUAGGGUGGCGUCCUGAGCCCCAGCGCCUCAGAAUGUGACCUUAUUUGCAAAUAGGGGCAUUGCAGAGGUGAGGUCAUCCUGGAGUAGUCCAUUAAGCCAAGAAACUGGUGUCCUUAUCAUAAGAUGGCCAUGUGAAGACAGAGACCCAGGAAGAACCUUGUGGGUGGAUGGAGGCUGAGAGAGAGGCAUCUCCAAGCCAAGGAAAGACAGAGAUCACCAGCAAACCAGGGGAGGCUUUCAGAGGGAGUAUGGCUAGAUCAACAUCUUGAUUUCACGCUUCCGGUUUCUACAACCAUGAGACAAUGAAUUUCUGUUGUUUUAAGCCAUAUAGUUUGUGGUACUUUGUUCUGGCAGCCCUAGGAAAUUAAUAGAAGUACUUUCUUUUUCUUUUUUUUUUUUUUUUUUUUUUUUUCUUUUUUCUUUUUUUUUUUUUUGUUGUUGUUGUUGCUAUUUCUUGGGCCGCUCCCGCGGCAUGUGGAGGUUCCCAUGCUAGGGGUUGAAUCGGAGCUGUAGCCACCGGCCUACGCCAGAGGCACAGCAACGCAGGGGGCGAGCCGCGUCUGCACCCUACACCACAGCUCACGGCAACGCCGGAUCGUUAACCCACUGAGCAAGGACAGGGACCGAACCCGCAGCCUCAUGGUUCCUAGUCGGAUUCGUUAACCACUGUGCCACGACGGGAACUCCAAUAGAAGUACUUUCAAAUGAAUAAUCCUCCUCUUUCUCCUCCUCCUUCUAAAUCAUCCUCAUCUUCAUCCCUUUGCCUGAGCAAAAGAAAGGGUCUCCUCCAGAUGUGGAGACUGAUGUGCAGAGUCCAGACUCCAUGGUCACUCAGUGCCCCUCUUGCAUUGGCUCCCGGGCCUUGGGUUAGACCAUAAGUCUAGGGCUUUCUGGAGCUCCAUUGGAGAACCACCCCUAUUACCUGUUGCCUUUACACAAAGGCUGAUGCUCACCUUCUGGUUAUCUGAGCUCCAUCCAGGACUUAUUCAUGGUAGGCAGAAUUAAGAUGGUCCCAAGGAGGGGGGAUGCGCUGGGGUUUGGGAUGGAAAUACUAUAAAAUUGGGUUGUGAUGAUUGUUAUACAACUAUAAAUGUAAUAAAAUCU
rnacentral:lncRNA from 1 species